rfam:Myotis davidii contig35473, whole genome shotgun sequence.
CUAAAGGUCCUUUUUAGGGCCACCCAGAGAGUCCUUGGGGAGCUGG